rnacentral:rRNA from 1 species
UGGAGAGUACGAGCAAUAGCUUAAAAACUAAAGAAUAUGGCGGUGUUUUAUUCGAUCAGGGUAACAUGUAUCUUAAUUUGAUAGUCCACGGUUUUAAAGCCUGAUUUUGAAAUUCAGCAUGUGUACUGCCGUUUUACAUAGUCUAGAAGGAUUAUGUAUAAUAUAUGAGUUAAUCAUAUAAUUAGUCAGGUCAAAGUGCAGUCUAUAAUCAGGUGAGAUUGUGUUACAUUUAUUUAAACAUUCAACUUAUUAAUUUAAAUUUUAAUAAGAAGAAGAACUUGAUAGUAAUUAAAUUAAUUAAAUUUAAUGAAAAGGAUUUUAACGCGUACACAUCGCCCGUCGCUC